UACGAAGGGGGCAAGCGUUGUUCGGAAUGACUGGGCGUAAAGGGCGCGUAGGCGGCGCUCCAAGUCAGAUGUGAAAGCCCCGGGCUCAACCUGGGAACCGCAUUUGAGACUGGGGCGCUCGAGUUCGGGAGAGGAUGGUGGAAUUCCCAGUGUAGAGGUGAAAUUCGUAGAGAUUGGGAAGAACACCGACGGCGAAGGCAGCCAUCUGGACCGACACUGACGCUGAGGCGCGACAGCGUGGGGAGCAAACAGGAUUAGAAACCCCCGUAGUCC
rnacentral:rRNA from 1 species